rnacentral:lncRNA from 1 species
AUGCUCUCCCCCUCAGCCCCAAGCCUGCAGCGGCUCUCCCCGGGGCGGGGUCGCCUUUAUCCGCGACAUUCCCACUUGGAAUGCAGCAGGUCUCGGGUGCUCUGGGGAGAUCCCAGAACCGAGAAUCGGCAGCAGCUCUGCCCGGUACCCCUGGCUCCAGGAGAUCCCAGGGAAGCAGAGAGGUCUCAGAAUGGCCUGGAGCAGGUGGGCUCCGCCCAAGGGGUUCCCAUCUCCACCGAUCCUAUAGGGGAGAACUGCCUAUUCCCUUUCGCUUUUUUUUCUCCCCAGGAAGAGCGGUGCUGCCGCUCCUUCCUCUGUCUGCACCUCUCCACUCGCAGCGCAGAGGAGCGAAACGCCCCGGGGGUGCCUCCAUGCACAGCCCUGACGGCGGGUGAACCCCAACAGGCAGGGGCACGAAGCGGGCAAAGCGGCAGCUGUCCCGCGGGUGAUACAAUCCAUCUACGGGAGCAGCUUUCACCCCUAAAAUCCCCCCUGGAAGCCUUGAGGCCAAAGCAGGGAGAACAGCAGCGCUGGGUGGGGGGCAGUGCCCUAAUGUCCCCCCUCUCCCAUCCCCCCUCGAGACCAGGUUUGCCCCAUGCCGUCCUCCCUCUGUCUGCGACCGCCGUGCCCGGGGGUGACAGCGGGCCAGCAGACGGCCCUCCCUUGUCCUGCCCUAUUUUUCCUAUCGAGUGUCGCCUUUACUCCGCUGACCCGCUCAGGCUUCGCGCUGUGGGACACGGGGGCAGAGAGGGCCCCCCCCUCCCGCACCGUGAACUGCCCCACAGCCCGUACGCUUGCCACGAGGCGAAGGAGUCGAUGCUUCCUAAAAGGUUUUUAUUCCCCUCGCCAGGUCCGCAACGAGAAGCCGGGCUGGCAGCGGGCAGACGGGGGCUCCCCUUUAAGAAGUGCCUCAGCUCCUCAACGCGGGGUGCCAAGCUUGGCCUCAAAGGGGGCAGCACCGAGAGGAGGAAAAAAAAAAGAAAAGGAAAAAGAAAAAAAGAAAGAAAGAAAAAAAGAAAAAGAAAAAGAAAAAAAAAAGAAAAAGAAAAGAAAGGAAAAAAAUAA